AUGUCACGGUUGCAAACUCUAACUAACUUUCUCACAUGUGUAGUCGUCAAAAAAAAAGAAAAACUUUCUCACAUGUGUGUUCUAAAAGAACAAUGCUCUCAACAUAAUUUAGUUUCCAUCUCUGUUCCGGCUCUCCUGGCCUUCCUCGACCUAUACGCCAUCGCCGCCGCCGCCAUCACACGAUGUCGCCGCCGCUGCUGCGGACGACUUCCCGACGCUCAGGGCGCUGCGGUAGAACUGCGCUUGGCUGCAGUGCGUGUUCCCGGCGCCAUUGCCGACCGUCGGUGCGCCACCGUGCUGGCACCUCGACGGGCUGCUCGAGGUAAUGGCCGUGAGGCGUACAAGUUGACCUCACGCUGCAAUCGCUCUAAUAAAAAGGGCCACGAUUCAAUCGAUCCCCAUGUCAUCCUGAACUUCAGAUUUCCAUCCAACUCAGCAAUCGAUCUGAAAAAAGGUCAUAGACUCACAAUCCCUUUCUUCUUCUUUCAUGAAUCAUCUCAGAUUUCAGGUUCUGACUAUGAGGCUUCCCAACAUAAUUUUUCUAGGCCAAUUAUUGAAUCAAUCUUACACCGGUUGAUGCAGCGGAGGAGGAGGCGGCUGCAGUAG
rnacentral:rRNA from 1 species